CACACACAGCUGUGAGGCUAUUGCAAAGAAAGGGAAACUCGCCGCCAAGUUCUCUAAACUACUCUGUGAACUCAGAUCCCUCCUCAUCGUGAUAUCUGAUCCCCAUUUUCAACUUUGCCUCUAAGGGUCACAUGCUUUUUAAUUGUCUUCUAUAUCAUUAGAUACACUACGGGGGGUCGGAUUUCUGUUAGUAGACAUGCAAGCUUACUUUCAGAAUAAAGACGGGUAAAAGGGUUACACUUCACAUUAAGGCCAUUCCGCUCUGAAAACCCUGAAUCCCAUCUCAGAUCACAUAUUAAUAAUUUGCUUUGCUGAGCCAUUGCUAAUAUCACUUGACCUGAGGGUUAUUAACAUUUCUAUGAACUGUUACUUCCAUCAAGUCUCAGUUUUUCAGUUCAUCUCAAAGCAUAUUAUUCAGUAAUUUAUAAAUAAAUUAUUUAGUAGCUUCAGUGAAACUAAUACAAAAUGUAAGGCGGGGUCUUGGGAGCUUAAGAGCCUUAAGUAGGUUUGUUUAUAUGAAGCCAAAACACAAGAAUAUGUUAGUCCUGUUUUCUUAGAGCUACAAAACUUGGAUUGGAUCUGUAUAUUCUUCUAUCAUCUCUUUAGUCUUAUAUGUAGCUGGGCAAGAAUUAGACACUGGGGGUGCUAUUUGGAAAUGGUGCUUGGACCCUGCAGGAAGAAUUACCACCCAAUUUCUUGAAGCAAAACUGACCCAGUUUUAAAGACAAAGUAGAGUCACACAAGACAUGCAAUUAGUUUAGUUGUUUGUAUUUAUUGCUCUUUAUAGUAAAUUGUUCUAUAUGUAUAAAUGUUUCAUUUCAGUAUUUUUUUUUUAAUGCAGCUUAGUUAGGUCGUGUUCAUUUUGUUCUAGAGAUAUGCAAAUGUUUGCACUCAACUCUAGUAUAACAAUAAUUAUAAUAGUUAUGCAACUAUGGAUCUUGAAAGUAAAUCAUGGUAAAUAAUGGGAUCAUCAGUAAAAUGCACUAACUUUGUUUGCACAUUUUUAUUUUUUUUUGGACUGGAGACCUGUAAUCCCAGGUCAAUUCCACAAAAGAAUCAGUCGACCUUCAAGUUAAAACGAGCCAAAUUAGCAUUCAGUUACUGCAAGGAGCAUUGGAGCAAUGCCAGAUGCUCGCAUCAUGUGGUAUUAUGGCUUUGCUCUAGUCAGUCCUCCUUCUCCUACGUUAAUAAUUGCAUGUAAUUAACAAGCUAUGUCUUAUCGCAAUGCUGACAGGCCUCACUGGCAAAAACAUUAAACUGAACUAGCACUCGGGUGAAGAACGCAACUUCUUCCACAGCUUGUACUUUCAAUCGGAAGCAAUUAUUAAUCAGGUAGCAAUUACGGUCCAAUACAAUUUCCCCAUGGACAAAAGGAAAGGAGAACAGGAUAUGGUGAAUGUUCUAGAUAAAAGAAAAAGAAGUAACACUUUGAAAAGAAAUGCCUUUCAUUCAUGAAUACAUAAGCUAUAAUUGCACUGUGAAGAAGAGCAACAGGACUAACGAUACCUGUAAAACAAGCUGAAACACAUACACAGACCUGUGAAGUUGUCAACAGAGUUGACCAUUUUACUUGUGCUAACAAAGGAAUAUUAAUGAAUGCGAUCACACUAUCACAUCACACUUUCACACUCUGGCUAAAGAUUUUGUUGUGUAGAACAUGUGCAAACUUGAUAACACAAAAACAACUACUUGCAGGCAGGUUUAUGCAGGCAUUUCUACCGUAAGCUGCAAAACUACAGGACGGAGUAUAUGCAAAAAGGUUAAUUUAACAGCCACAGUUUAAUUUCAUGCAGCCUAAAAGUGCAAUUAUGUGCAAACUGACGUCAAACCGAAGGGUAAGUAUUAAGUCCUUCAAUUAGCUUUUACUAAGUUUACUUUACCUGCCCUUUACUAAACAUUACCAUAUACUAAGUUUUAAUAAUGAGGAGAUUUAUCAAAAUUUAGCUCUGUACCUCAGUAUAAUCUAAAAAAAAAAUCUUGAAAUUAUGACUUAUAGAAUUAUUAUUGCAGUAUAGUUAACUCCAGACCCCCAUGAUGGGGGCCAAUGUCAAAAUGGUGUCAGCGUGAUUAAAGCAUACAUUUAUCUACCCAGAUCCAGAGCUACAUAGACAUAAUGAUUCGGUUUCAGAUGCUCUUCUCAUGAACUGUCUCUUCAACUUAAAAUGUUGUGAAGUCAUACUACUAACUAAUGAACAAAUGAGGCCUGUGUGGUUGGAUUCAUCCAAUUUCAUAUGAAAGCCAUAAGAAAAGGUAUACAAGCUAACCCUAGCCCUUUUCACAUGACAGCUUGUCAAAUUUGCACCACUUCCCUCACCAUAGGUGAGAAUGUGAGAAUGUACGACAAUCUUCCUAGUUGCUAGUUUAAAGUCAACAUGUAGUCACUGGUUUGGAAACCAUUUCUGAGGCUCACCAACAAUUUCUUUCAUUACCAAAGUAGCGUUUCUACCUAACCAUAUAAUACACCGACUUCAUUUGUUGUAAUACUAUUUUCACACCAAUUUUUCUCUGCAGGUUAUACAUCAAUCUGCCAUUGGUCUUCUGCAGUAGGAAUCCGUCAAAUUGCUCCUUCCUGUUAAAGGUGGUCCAUGUUGCAAAUAAUAAAUAAAUAAAUAAAUACUGACCCAUCAAUCCAUUUUAAUGUAUUUCUGAAACUAGGUUUCACAUUCAGUACAAAUGGCAGUGAAACGAUAAAAGGGUUCGAGGCAGAAUUAGUACUUGUACAUUAUUUUCAUUAUAUCUAUUUGCUCAAAGUCUUACAAAGAGAUUAUUCUCUUUGUAAAGAUAAAAAUCCAUGCCUCCUUUAUGCUAAAGCUACCACUAAUGCUAACACCAUUAUUCAUUUGUCUAUUGAUUCUUCAUUCUGCUACACUAAUGACAUAAGCCAAAUCUUUCCUCGCUGCAUUCGAGGUGAAACACAGAAAGUGUUUGAACACAUUCCUUCACAGUAUGCAUGCUUCAUGUUAUUCAUAAGCUGAAGUCAUGAGCUAUCUUAAGGCUGCUAGUCCUAGCACUCAUUAACAUCUUUCAGACAAUCUGCUGUUUUACCAGUUGUUAACACCAGCUUUACUGUUAUUUGGUGCUAGCCACCCAUGCUAGAAUGCCUUACAUGCUCUUUUUAUUCAGAAUAAAAAUGAUCUUACGCUUUUAUUUAUACAGCAAACAUAUCAACAUAUUGCUGAACGUAUGCGUCUUUUUCGCAGUGACAAUGUUUAUAAAAAGGGAACAAUACCUACACAUGGUAGGUUUGAUUUUGUGGUGUUUUCACACCAUGUGUUCUUGAAACACUUCAACAUGCACUGACACUGAAGGUCCCGGACUGCUGCAUCUGCCUUUUAAAUGUCUUUUUACAGGCAAAUCCGUUUUAACCUUAGUAUAAUCUUAGAAGACCGAUCGAUUUUACUUGCUUUAUAAAAGGUCAUGUUUUUUUUUUUCUUCAAAUUUUCUUUAAAACAGAGAUCUUAGUCCUCAGUACGUCUGUAAAAUGAAUAAAUAAAUAAAUAAAUAAAUAAAUAAAUAAUCAUAUGUGGCAGACUGUGGAUAAAUAAACUUAACGCUUUGGACCAAUUAUAUCUGAGAUAGAAAGUUUUAGUCGUAGAAACUCAGCUAAUCUUAGCUAAGUAAUGAACAAAAUUGUGAUUAUUAUGAAAUAUGUUGACUGUUUUUCCUAUGUCCUAUUUUUAAAGUAAAUCUAUGAAAAUGGGAAAAUUGGACAAAUAGGUGGUGUGAUAUGGAGCAAUGCAAAGCAAAGCUACAGCUACCACUGGUUGUUUUCCUAUAACAACGUAUCCAGAAGUCCCCUUAUUCCACAGCAAUUUGCCAACUAAGACAACAUAGCUUAUAAUUUAUUAAUGAAUGCCACAUCAAACUUUUAAUCCAUUUACAAAAUGUGUUAUGGUCUGAUGAGACCAAAGUAGAACAUUUUGGGAAUAAGUCUAAAAGAUAUGUUUGGCACAGUGAAGCACGGUGGCAGCGGAAUCAAGCUAUGGGGCUGUUUCUCUUCAGCUGGGACUCAUGCUCUAGUCAAGAUAGAGGGAAUCAUAGACAGCUCCAUAUACCAAUGUAUUUUGACACAAAACCUCCAGGCCUCUGUUAGACAACUGAAGAAACAUUUCACCUUUCAUGAUAGCACAAAUCCAAGUCAGCAAAGGAAUGGCUUCAGAAGAAGAAGAUCAAUGGUUUAGAAUGGCCCAGUCAAAUCUCAGAUCUAAAUCCUAUCAAAAAUUUGUGACUUGAAGAGAGCAAUGCACAGGAGAUCUCCUCGCAAUUUGAUUGCUCAGGAGCAUUUUUGCACGGAACAGUGGAAUAAAAUUGGCAAAUCAAGUUGGUAUACAAAGUGCUGUAUUCCAAGCAAAAGGUUCUUUAAGUAAAAGAAAGUAUUAAUAAAGGGGUGUGUACACUUAUGCAACCAGGUGAAUGUAAGAGUUUUUUCUUUCUUUUUUUCCUCUAAAAAUUGUUAAACCAUUUUUAAUUUGAAUUUUGAUCGUUGUUAGCAGGCUUGGGGAGUAACGGAAUACAUGUACCGGGAUUACGUAAUCAGAACACAAAAAAACUGGUAACUAAUCUGUUACAGUUACGUUAAAAAAAAAAAAACAAAGUAAUCAGAUUACAGGUACAUUUUGUAAAAAAUGGGAAAUAUUAUCGGGAUUACAGUUUUUUUUAUUUAAAAUCAAAGAUAUGAAUCUUUUGACAUAACAGAAUAUAGACAUCAGCUUGAUUAUAGUUCUGGUUCUCUCUUUCCAAUCGUAGUUUACAUGAGCAAUCUCGUGGUGCAUGAGCAAAUAAAUUUUGUGCAAAGUUAAUUUGUUAAAAAUGAACACAAAUUGUUCUCUGAAAUGCUUUUGUUAAGGUGACCAAGACUUUUAAUAUCCACCAUUAUAAACAGUCAUUCUCUUACUGUACCAGCCUCUCUUUUUUUCUCUCCGUCUCUCACUCUCACAAGAAAGUGAAUCAAUUAACCUCAUACAGCCUCAGCUUAUUAUUCAAUUAUUUAUCUUAAAGCAUAUUAUUUACUAACCAUAAAUUAUUCAGAAAGUAUUAUGAAACUAAUAGGAAAGGAGAGAUACAAGUUAGGUAUGUAGAGUCUGUUUUUUUUGUUGUUGUUUUUUUAAUGUUGUGUGGUCUAAUUAUUCAUUCAUUAAAUGCAGGACCUUCCCAAAUUGCUUUUUCUUUUGAUAUAUUAAAGGGGUUCAUGACAUGAAAAAUCAAAAUUUUCUUGAUCAUUUGACAUACAAGAGGUCACUGUACCAUUAAAACAUCCUGCAAAUUUCGUAGCUUAAUACAUCCUACUCAGUACAAUAAAUAAAUAAAUAAAUAAAUAAAUAAAUAAACCGGCUUGUUCGGAUAUGGCGGGAUUUGUGAUGUCACAUGGGCAAAAACAUUUGCAUAUGAAUGCCACUACAGGAAGACAUCGACACCUCAUUGCACCGUUGGCCCCGCCCACUGGCGCUCAGUUGCUGAAAACAGUUCCGCACGUGAUAUGGCAGGGGGUUUUGAUAAUUAUUUCAUAGGCAAAGAUGUCAGCUAAUCAUAGUACUGGGUGGUUACAUUGAAGUCUUAAAGGUAAAGGACACAACAACAGAGGGUCAGAGAUAGGGUGGGAGACAGGGGUUUUUUUUCUGCAAAAAACUUUACUAAUAUUUUAAUUACAUCUCAGGGAAGAUGAUCAAAUAAAAUAAAUUAAAACGUCAUGACCCUUUUAA
ensembl:lncRNA